rnacentral:rRNA from 1 species
CGCCUAAUACAUGCAAGUCGAGCGAGAAGGUGUAGCAAUACACUUGUAAAGCGGCGAACGGGUGAGGAAUGCAUGGGUAACCUACCCUCGAGUGGGGAAUAACUAGCCGAAAGGUUAGCUAAUACCGCAUACGUUUCCGGAACUUCGGUUUCGGAAAGAAAGCAAUACCGUGGGUAUUGCGCUCCUGGAUGGGCUCAUGUCCUAUCAGCUUGUUGGUGAGGUAACGGCUCACCCAAGGCUUCGACGGGUAGCUGGUCUGAGAGGACGAUCAGCCACACUGGCACUGCGACACGGGCCAGACUCCUACGGGAGGCAGCAGUAAGGAAUAUUGCGCAAUGGACGAAAGUCUGACGCAGCGACGCCGCGUGGGGGAUGAAGGUCUUCGGAUUGUAAACCCCUUUCGGGAGGGAAGAUGGAGUGGGUAACCACUUGGACGGUACCUCCAGAAGCAGCCACGGCUAACUUCGUG